rnacentral:tRNA from 1 species
GCGAUUGUGGUAUAACGGUUAUUACGUCUGGUUGUGGUCCGGGAAACGAGGGUUCGACUCCCUUCUUUCGCC